CCCGGGAGCUGACGGAGCAGAUGAGCACAAAGCUCAGCAAGGAUUUCCUCGGCAUGCUCAGCGUCAUCUUCAGCCAGUGUGACACACCGGUCAGCGUGCUGCCAGAUCUGCAGGAAGAAUACCAAGAAAUCCUGGAUAUGCUGAAAAACUUGU